rnacentral:rRNA from 1 species
UGACGAGUUUGAUCCUGGCUCGGAACGAACGCUGGCGGUAUGCCUUACACAUGCAAGUCGAACGGUAGAGGGGCAACCCUUGAGAGUGGCGAACGGGUGAGUAAUACAUCGGAACGUGCCCAGUCGUGGGGGAUAACGUAGCGAAAGCUACGCUAAUACCGCAUACGACCCGAGGGUGAAAGCGGGGGACUCGCAAGAGCCUCGCGCGAUUGGAGCGGCCGAUGGCAGAUUAGGUAGUUGGUGGGGUAAAGGCUCACCAAGCCAACGAUCUGUAGCUGGUCUGAGAGGACGACCAGCCACACUGGAACUGAGACACGGUCCAGACUCCUACGGGA